rnacentral:ncRNA from 2 species
UCUACAGUCCACCCGUCUGGUGCCAUGGCCUUUCCGGGGCCUGGAGAAUCGGGAACGCGGUGCAAUUCCGCGACGUGCCCAACGCUGUGAGGCGGAUGGCGCAGCAAAGGCCACUGACCCUUCGGUUGGGAAGGCGCUGCGCCGCGUGAAGCCGAGUCAGAAGACCGGCCAGGCAGGAUGGAUCUUU